rnacentral:lncRNA from 1 species
GGAGACACAAAGCACGGUUCACAAAGGGGGCCCGAGAGGGGCGAAGGGGGCUGCCCGGGGCACGGCUCAUCCCCACACCUGCGCGCGGGUUGGGGGAAGAAUGUGGCCGGCGCAUUCCUCUGCUGGGGCCAGCGGGGGAGAACUUCCCACGUCGAGACUGGGUGAGGGGCUCAGCCAUCCGGCAUCUCGGAGGAGGGGGUCAAGCGCCUGGCCGGGCUCCUGCUCCGCGCCUCCCGCCUCCAAGGUCACUUCAGCCUCCCUGAAGACCGCCCGGCACGGCUCGGAGGCCGCGCACUGCAGCCAGCAAACCUGCGCCCGAGGGCAGAGAGUGAAGGAGGCUGGGUCCAGGCGUGCCCGGCCCUGCACUCCCCACACCGCAGGGUCCUCACGGGCCUUCCGGGACUCCCUUGGCCCCAGGGAGCGCAGCCCCGCGCUCUCCCCGACGCCACUGCCCCAUGCGGACCCCGCCCGCCCCCCAGGGAGCGGUCCCGGUCGGGGCCACGGCGAGGCUGUGGAGUACCUGGAGAAGGAGGAGAGACGCGAGAGGUCCACGAGGGAGCCCCAU